CUGUUCUCUGACCUCUCUCUCUCUCUCGCGUUCUCUCAGACCUCUCUCCUGACAUGUAUUAUUAUCCCACUUUUUCUCUGACAACGUUUAACCAACCCCCUCUCUCUCCAUCCUCUCUCUCUCUCUUUAUUUCCCCUCUCUCCCUACUCUCACUCCUUGUCCCUCUCUCAGAUGGAGCAGCCGUCGAUGGAGCAGAAAGGUCAUGCCAACGUGCCGUGGAUAGUGGAACCAGGGCAGGAGGCCAAGAGAGGAGCGAACACCAAAGCAAAGCCAAUUCUCCAGCACUAGGUUUGCGUGCUGAUGUUUUGGGGGAUUUUGUUGUCCAGUACUGGCAACCCAGAGGAAAGUGGAGGGAACAUUUGUUUAUCAGUUCCAUCCAGUUGGAGAGGAUAAUGGACUGCUAUGAGAGAUGAUGUAGCAAAUGUUACUUUUCAACAACAAAAAAGUUGCUAGUUCAACAGACUCCUGUUUUAAUCAUAUAUCAGUCUUUGAUUUUUACUGCAGAUUAUUUUUUUUAGACAUAUGAGACUAAUUGACCUUUGACACAGGAAGGAAUAGUUUAUAAACCACAUGCUAUACCUGUGUCCAGAUUGAAUUUGUUUAAAAUAGGUUAUUAUUAGAUUCAUCAUUUUCUUUCUAUACUUGUUUUGUUGGGAAAUGCUGAAAAGGUUUAGCUUGUGGCUUGUGAGGCGCAUGGAGUCCAUUUUGGACUGACUGGUGACGAGGGAGGGGCGGGGCCGGUGGAUAGGAGACGGGGUUUGGGGACUCUCUGGAUAAGUGGUGUGAUCUCAUUUGCAGGGCAAUGCCGGACGCCCAUGUCUAUUACUGUGGAAUGCAAAGAAUGUAGCCAGCCUUAAACAUGGACCCUCUCACACACAAUGCAAAAAGGACUACAAAUGUGGACCCUUCUGUCUCUGUGUCAAAGGACUACUAACAUGGACACUAACGAACUUGGUGUUUAAGGUUGAUUACAAAACGAGGACAUCUUCCCACAAACCACAAACAUUGGACCCAUGGACUAUCUGUGUACACACACACACACACACACACACACACACACACACACACACACACACACACACACACACACACACACACACACACACACACACACACACACACACACACACAGAGUUAAGGGACUGCUUAGUAACAGAUGUCAGUCAGAUAUGUGAAUGUAGACUUUCAUUGAAGCAGCCACAACUACAACUCUAGCCCCUGUUCUGCAUUCAAUUGGACCUUGACCUUUGAACUCUAUACCACGGUCACCCAAGGUCUGGACUGUAACGGACAACUGUCUGUAUUUGAAUGGGGAUGAGGUAAAGGACUUCUGGUUGGCUCUUUUCCUAUUGUUUAAGUUUUGUUUAAUGGUCAAUAAUACAAUAAUAUGGAUAGAAUUGGACUAGCCGUGCCGGACCACCAUGCAACAGGUGAGCCAUGUGCCAAGUGGCAUCACAAAGAAUGGCUCCGCCUACCUGAGCAAAACGCCAUCCAUCCCAAUUAAAGAAAUAUUCAUAUUAAUGCCGGACGUUUUAAAUGUUUCAUAUGAGAGUAUUAUAUUACCUUAUGAUUAUUCUUGUGCAAUUCUUGUCUACUCUUGUCUUAAUGUUACAUUAUUUUUAUAUGAUAUGCUGAAAUGAAAAAAUCUGGGCUUGAGAAUGAUUGCCAUCCUUUAAAAAAAUACCAUAAUAGUUCUAUACUGAGAGUGAAUGUUUCAGAUGGCUCCUCCUUAUUAUUAAUAAUAAUAGCUAUUAUUAUUAUUGGUGUGUCCGGUCAACACACCAAUCUGUUUCUCAUGGGGCUAGACUCAUAACUCCAAGCAGAUGUAAUAUUUUACCACAGUAUUUAUGUAUUCUUUGGAUGCAUACAUAGUCCUCUCUAAAUGUACAUAGAUAUUUUGCCAGCUCAUUGUUCAUACAUGUAAUGUAGUAAAACAUUUACAAAAAUAAAGGAAUAAAAUAUUUGCCGCACAUCGCACUGGAAACAAGGUACCAAAAUGAAAAGGUCAGAGUUGAAAAUAAAUCUAUGGUUCUAGAGAUUGUAUUGGGGAGGGUUGGGACAGGGGGUGAUGACAUCACUGCUGACUAACUCAUGUACAUAGGCUUGGGCUUCCAGCACACAGAUUUUGUACGUUUUGGUCAUUAUUUAUAUCCUUGUAAAUCACAUGGAAUAAACACAACUUGUACAACCAUUAA